AGCCCUGUGGCUCAGUUGGUAGAGCAUGGUGUUUGCAACGCCAGCAUGGUGUGUGCAACACCAGGGUUG
rnacentral:tRNA from 1 species